UACGUAGGGUGCGAGCGUUAAUCGGAAUUACUGGGCGUAAAGCGUGCGCAGGCGGUUUUGUAAGCCAGAUGUGAAAUCCCCGGGCUUAACCUGGGAAUGGCAUUUGGGACUGCAAGGCUCGAGUGCGGCAGAGGAGACUGGAAUUCCUGGUGUAGCAGUGAAAUGCGUAGAAUAUCAGGAGGAACACCGAUGGCGAAGGCAGGUCUCUGGGCUGACACUGACGCUCAUGCACGAAAGCGUGGGGAGCAAACAGGAUUACGAAACCGUAGUGAGAC
rnacentral:rRNA from 1 species